GAUGAACGCUAGCUACAGGCUUAACACAUGCAAGUCGAGGGGAAACGACAUCGAAAGCUUGCUUUUGAUGGGCGUCGACCGGCGCACGGGUGAGUAACGCGUAUCCAACCUGCCCAUCACUUGGGAAUAACCUUGCGAAAGUAAGACUAAUACCCAAUGACAUCCCACGAAGACAUCUGAAUGGGAUUAAAGAUUUAUCGGUGAUGGAUGGGGAUGCGUCUGAUUAGCUUGUUGGCGGGGUAACGGCCCACCAAGGCAACGAUCAGUAGGGGUUCUGAGAGGAAGGUCCCCCACAUUGGAACUGAGACACGGUCCAAACUCCUACGGGAGGCAGCAGUGAGGAAUAUUGGUCAAUGGGCGAGAGCCUGAACCAGCCAAGUAGCGUGCAGGAUGACGGCCCUAUGGGUUGUAAACUGCUUUUAUAAGGGAAUAAAGUGGGUCUCGUGAGACUUUUUGCAUGUACCUCAUGAAUAAGGACCGGCUAAUUCCGUG
rnacentral:rRNA from 1 species